UCUGAUUCUGGUCUCGAGACGCACUUUGAAAACUAUCAAAAUGAGCGAUCCAGACGGAGAGCAUCAACCAUUUAAGUUUUUUUGGAGUAAAAUUUAAUCUGUGCUGUUGUUGGUUGUCAUUACAACUCAACGUAGUUAAUGAUAUCAAUGCAACUAACCUCAGACCAUCGCAUCAUGACAUCUACACACUCAGAUGAGGCACUGUCAUUAAAAAACGGCCAUCUCGACUCGGUGAAGUAUCGGCACUAUACAGCCACAUGUUUUUUGACCAUUUUUACAAAUGUAAUACCUUAAACAUUACAUAACCACUAAGCAUAUACGCCGAUGCAAGUGAUAACACUGGAGACUGGAAAUUGAAAAAAGUUGAAUUAGGGAAUACUUUCACGAUCAGGAAAAGGUGGAUUGACCUGUUUCAGUGACGUCACUAUUCCCCGCAGCCACCAUAUUUGUGAUCAUCAGUGGGAGGAAACAAUGGUGGUGAAUGGAAAAACACCCGGGAAACGAUAUCAACAAAAACAUCACAAAUUGCUUUUGAUCCAUGCCAAGGAUGGGUUCAUACAGCUCUGAAGACAGCACAAAUAUUGCCAAACGGAACUUUCGUGGACAUAUAAAGAUAUUUUAUCCAUGAUUCAUCAACAGACGCAGGCGAGUCUUAUCGAAAAAUGUUAAGUUAAUGUGAAAUGUUAAUGUGACCGGUGUUCUGAAAUAUUCAGUUUCUGACAUUUUCGGUUGCACUCGGCGGAGCAUACAUGGAGAUUAAUUAGUUUUCUGUUUCGUGUUAAAGUAGGAUGACCAUACGUCCUGUUUUUCCCGGAUAUGUCCUCUUUUUCGGACCUUAAAAAAGCGUCUGGCCAGGAUUUCUGAAUUUGCGAAAAUGUCUGGGAUUCGGCUUUAGUUGCAUUAUGAUGUGCAUCUGGUCUAUUACAUUGUGUGUGCGCGCAGACUGUAUUUGCAUUGCUUUAACCCCUCUAUGUAAGUCCCGCCUUCUCGCACACCAAUUGGUCGAUUUAUAUGAGGCUUGCAGCAACUAUUGGCCAAAUUCCUGCCUGUCAAUCUUUCCGCGAACGCGCGAAGCGCUGUUGUGUUCAGCAUCAAACAGUUGCUUGACAGUAGCAGCAAAUGACAGCUGAGUGGAAACAAUGCCCAAACGAAAGUGUAAAUUUAUUGAAGAUUUGCACAAAAAAUGACCAUGCUUUCGUCCAGGUCGAGAUCCGUGGGAAGCAGAAUGUAUGACAUGUAAAGCUGGCGCUUAUGUGUCAGUUGCUAAUAAAGGUGCAAGUGAUUUAGAAGCACACAUUAGCUCUAUGAAGCAUAAAGGGUCAGCAAAAGGUGAAAGUUCAUCAGGUAAAGUAAAGGACUACUUUUUGCGACCAGGUAAAAUUGUUAUCACAUUGCUUCAUUUUCCAUGGCCAUUCAAAAUAAUAGUAAUAGUAAAUGAAGGUACACUCAUGGCAUCAAAUAUUUUAUUUUAGUGCAUGGACAUAUAUUUAUGUUAUGCUAAUAGAGUGUCUUUUUCACUGUAUUAAAGUUUGCAUUCAUAGUAACACUGUUUUGAGCCCUAUUAUUCCACCACACCCCAAUUUUUCGGCUAAUAUUGCCCACAAUCCCUUGCUCGAUGGAAGAGGAUUUUGAUGGUUCGCUUCAGAACUACAACUGUGAAACAUGAAAAACUAUAAACAUGGCAGUGACAAUGGUGCUUCAUUAGUUCUUAAAUGUUUUCACAUCUUAAGCGUCAUGUAAGUUUAAUGGUUAAACGCUGUGAAAAAAAAAAACAAACUUCAUUGACACUGUAGGACGACAAUGCUCUUCGUUAAAUUGUGAACGAUCGGCUGCUCCAUUUACACAAUGAACAAAAAAGGGUUUGAAUGAUUAAUAAUCAUUAUAAUCUUACCUGCAAACUUUUAUGUUCUUCUACUCUACUUGUCUUGCGUAUGGAUACACAUUGUGCAUUUAAGAGCUUUCUUUCUUGAAAAUAAUCAAGUAAAAGUGUCAGCACUAUGUGGAUUCAAAACUGAAAAAUCUUAAACAGAAACAUUAAUCAAAUUAACACAAUUAUAUGUUCUCAUUUUAUUUUUGCCAGUAUUGUAUCACACUGAAAUAGAGAAGAUCACAUUCCCUUUCAGUCGACUGUUGAAUGACGUAACCAUGUGUGACGCUUCAAAAGACAAAAACAAACAUAGCUGCAAGCAGCGAUGAAGGGCCCAAGCACUAUGGGUCCAUUUCCACCAGGUGGCUUUCGGAAAACAAUGCAAGCGAUUCAGUGACGUCAGGGCUACAAUGUGAUUGGUUAUCAUGGCACACGUGAUCCAAGUUGACAGUUACGCUUUCUCCAACAGGAGCCACGGGUUCAGCUGUCUCACCCUCCAGCAGAUGAGCAAGUUGAUUACAGGCCCUUCAAUGAGAUGCCACAAGAUGGAAGAAAUGGCCCAUCAGAGGGACAUUUCCUUGGUUCGCUCACAUAUGGUCAGAGAAUGGAAUCUCCUGAAUCAAGGCAGAUAAUAAAAG